GCGGGUCAAAAAUAUGGAAUCGCGAGGUAUUUUCAAAAUGGAGUCAGAGGUACACGUCAGUGUUUUUAAAAAAUCUGGAAUACCAGCGGUGACACGAUGCACGGUGUGCUGUACGUUGUUCCACUGCCCCAUUUGCCCCCCUAAUCUUUUUAAAGCCCGGUGUCGGGUGAAGGUUUUAAAGCACAUGGAGACGCAUGUGAAAAAUGCUGUUAAAUAUAAAGAUUUCUACAUAACAAAAUGUCACCAUGCCUGCAGGAAUGAAAGCCACUUCCACUGCCCUUUCUGCUUAAAGACAGUAAUUAGACGACAUGAUUCAGAGAGGCAUUUACAGAUCUGUAGGCAUGGUGCCGGUGAGCCUCCAGUUGAUUCUGGCCACAUUGGCCUACUGCCAGCUGUUGGUGAGGAUGUGUGUAUGAAGAAGAUGAAGAAGAAGAAGCAAGAAGUUGGUCUCAGAUCUAAAAAGACCAUGGAGAUUUCCUUUGCAGGCAAACAAGCUCUGGUCACAGGAGCAGGAAAAGGGAUCGGCAGGGCCACAGCUCUGGCUCUGGCACGCUGCGGGGCGAAGGUCACGGCGGUCACACGCACACAGGCCGACCUGAACAGUCUGGUGGAGGAGUGCCCAUCAAUAACCCCAGUAUGUGUGGACCUGGCAGACUGGGGAGCCACAGAGGCAGCCUUGCAGAACGUCGGCCCCAUCGAUCUUCUGGUGAAUAACGCUGCCUAUGCUACCUUACAGUCGUUUCUGGAAGUCACACCUGACCAGUUUGACAAGUCAUUUAAUGUGAAUGUGAAAGCGGUGCUGCAGGUCUCACAGAUAGUGGCUCGUGGUAUGAAGGCCAGAGGAUCUGGAGGCUCCAUCGUCAACGUGUCCAGCCAGGCGUCACAGUGCGCCCUCAAAGACCACGCUGUCUACUGUGCCACUAAAGGAGCUUUGGACAUGCUGACCAAGGUCAUGGCCCUGGAGCUUGGACCCCAUCAGAUCCGUGUGAACACGGUGAACCCCACCGUGGUGAUGACUGACAUGGGUCGUCUGGGCUGGAGUGACCCAGAGAAAUCCAAGCCAAUGAUGUCCCGCAUCCCUCUGGGCCGCUUCGCAGAGGUGGAGGACGUGGUGAACAGUAUUUUAUUCCUGCUAAGUGAUAUGAGCAAAAUGACCAAUGGAGUCACUCUACCGGUGGAUGGAGGAUUCCUGGCCUGCUGACUGUCCUCGUCUCAGCUCAUCAACCCGUCUGCUGGGGUGGAAAAACAACAAGAAGUACUCCCUGACUUAUCAUCUUAAAGCCAUACUUAAAUGAGGCACUGACAGUGCCUGCAUGUUCAUAUGAUUGGAUGCAUGGACAUAGUACGAGCAGAGGACUGUCAAAACUACCCAGAGUGCAGUGUGGACUAAAACAUGGCAGCACCCUGGUCUAAAAGCAUUCCUCCUACUUUCACCACAGUCUGGCCUUCUGACAGCGACUCUUAAAGAUGCACCUUUCCCCUCCAAGGAGAGAAAAGUUUCUUUAUGGCAUUUUAAAAUAAACUUGUUGCUUGUUAUUUACACAUCAACUAUUUCUUGCAAUGUGCAAAAUUAAGUUAAUCUACAUGGUCAGCCCGUUACUGAAUUUAGAUUUUGAUUGAUUUUUAUUAUUGUGUUUAUGCAGAAACGAUAUGCCCAGCCCAAAAAGGAUUACAAGACACCAGUAAGUAAGACACCAGCCCUGCAGCUGCAACGUAAAAAAAUAAUAAGCAACACAAUGGGGCCAUUUUUAAGGGCAUAUGUGACCAUAGUUGUAACACACAGCAGGAAAAGGUGCUGCUGAUAGUUGGAAUACACACUUAAGAAAGGCCCUGAGCUUUUGCCUCGAGUGUCAUGCCAGUGUGUCUGUGAUGGCAUGCAGACUCACACCUUUGGUUUACAUCAAAUGGUAUAGAAGAGGCAGGAUGACAUGCUUCAAGUCAUGUGACUAACAUAUCCUGCAGUGUGGUUAUUAUGCAUGCACACAGUGCAGUUAGGAAUGAAAAAUGAUAUAUCCUUCAGCCCUAUAAGAAAUUAUUUUCUUUGAGAAAUGAACUACUUCAUACUUCAUCUACUGGUUUGGAUAACAUCUUCCUAUUCAUUUUACAGUCUAAAUUUGUAAUAACUGCUACAUAGCCGAAAAUAGCAUCCAAAUUACGGUCAGAAUCACGUCAGUCAAAGAUGCUACGAAACUCUAGAGCUACUUUUAGCUUCAAAGGGUCAAUCCCGUUUCUACCCGUUAGCCCAGUGUUACUCAACUCUGCUCAACCAAAGAGCCAAAUUGUUGAAAAUACCUUUGCAAGAGCCACAAUCUAAGUGGUGAAAAGUGGCAAAAUUGGGUUAAAGUGGCAAUAAAAAUAAGUUAAAGG